GGGGGGCAUUUUGGCUCGGGUCAAAAGUAGUGAGUUAUAUUAGGGGGGCAUUUUGGCUCGGGUCAAAAGUAGUGAGUUAUAUUAGGGGGGCAUUUUGGCUCUGGUCAAAAGUAGUGAGUUAUAUUAGGGGGGCAUUUUGGCUCUGGUCAAAAGUAGUUCACAAUAAGCCUUAAACGACUAGACUCUAGGCACUAUUAUCAUGGUCAAGAUCCCUCUAGCACAGUCACUGUAACCUGCCACGAUGGUAAAUUGUGUAUUUCAGACACAUGAACAGGUCCCAGCACUGAAACCCACACACACAGACAAACACACAGAAAUACAAAUCAACAACAGUUAUUAAUAUGAAUCAUGGAGCUGGCAACACUAAGGUUGCAGGUUCAAUUCCCACAUUGGCUACAUUUACUGCGUAAACAGUAUGUGGUAAGAGUAAGUGGCUUUUAGGAUAGAGGCCCCUGCUGAAGUGGCUGAACCACAGAGAGCAGUGUGAGACAGAUUAAACCAGUCUUGGUGUGCGUGCGUGUGUAUGGGUGUGUGUGUUAGCAUCAGAGUCACUCUGUCAUCCCAUGGGAUAAACGGUGCUCCUGAACCGCCCAGAUUACUCCACCUCUCUCUGACAGGCUAUAAAUAGUGACACACCUCAACACACAGCCAGACACAGAGAGAAUGGAUACAUUGCACCUUCUCAGUGAUCACUAGAGCCACCAGAUUAUUACAGGAUGCUAUAUUGAUUACCAGAUCAUCCAUCAUAGCAAUGUCACCUUUUAUUCUAAUUUCCAAUGAACAGAGAAUAUAUCAGUCCAUUAUUUGUAUAAAUAUACCUGAACAGGAGAUACAAUGUGAUUGAUUCAGAUGUCUUCCUGACAUUCAGCUCUCAGAGAGAAAGGAGCAAGAGUGGACAGAUACCUCUGUGAAAAGACAAACCACAAUGCACUGCUGACAUCGCACUGCACUUUACUUUUAAAGGUCAUUUCAAUGACGUUGGCGGAGAUUGCAUUUGGGGUAAAUGCAGUGGAUGUCGGCUAAAACAUGAAUUAAGUUAAGUGCAGUGGAUGUCGGCUCAAACAUGAAUUAAGUCAAGUGCAGUGGAUGUCGGCUCAAACAUGAAUUAAGUCAAGUGCAGUGGAUGUCGGCUCAAACAUGAAUUAAGUCAAGUGCAGUGGAUGUCGGCUCAAACAUGAAUUAAGUCAAGUGCAGUGGAUGUCGGCUCAAACAUGAAUUAAGUCAAGUGCAGUGGAUGUUGGCUGUUUUGUUUGAAUCCCUGCCCAUGGGUUUCAGUGGUGCAGAUGGGUUUUGUUUGAAUCCCUGCCCAUGGGUUUCAGUGGUGCAGAUGGGUUUUGUUUGAAUCCCUGCCCAUGGGUUUCAGUGGUGCAGAUGGGUUUUGUUUGAAUCCCUGCCCAUGGGUUUCAGUGGUGCAGACGGGUUUUGUUUGAAUCCCUGCCCAUGGGUUUCAGUGGUGCAGACAGGUUUUGUUUGAAUCCCUGCCCAUGGGUUUCAGUGGUGCAGAUGGGUUUUGUUUGAAUCCCUGCCCAUGGGUUUCAGUGGUGCAGAUGGGUUUUGUUUGAAUCCCUGCCCAUGGGUUUCAGUGGUGCAGAUGGGUUUUGUUUGAAUCCCUGCCCAUGGGUUUCAGUGGUGCAGACGGGUUUUGUUUGAAUCCCUGCCCAUGGGUUUCAGUGGUGCAGACAGGUUUUGUUUGAAUCCCUGCCCAUGGGUUUCAGUG